rnacentral:rRNA from 1 species
UACCAGCUCUCCGAGUGGUGUGGAUGUUUAUUGGGCCUAAAGCAUCCGUAGCUGGCUGGGCAAGUCCCCUGUUAAAUCCACCGAUUUAAUCGUUGGUGUGCGGGGGAUACUGUCCGACUAGGGGACGGGAGAGGCCGACGGUAUUUUCCGGGGUAGGGGUGAAAUCCUAUAAUCCCGGGAAGACCACCAGUGGCGAAGGCUGUCGGCUAGAACGCGCCCGACGGUGAGGGAUGAAAGCUGGGGGAGCGAACCGGAUUAGAUACCCGGGUAGUCCCAGCUGUAAACGAUGCAGGCUAGGUGUUUGGGCGGCCACGUGCCGCUCUAGUGCCGCAGGGAAGCCGUUAAGCCUGCCGCCUGGGGAGUACGGCCGCAAGGCUGAAACUUAAGGAUUGGCGGGGGAGCACCACAAGGGGUGAAGCUUGCGGUUU